rnacentral:rRNA from 1 species
UAGGGAAUCUUCGGCAAUGGGGGUCAACCCUGACCGAGCAACGCCGCGUGAGUGAAGAAGGUUUUCGGAUCGUAAAGCUCUGUUGUAAGAGAAGAACGUGUGUGAGAGUGGAAAGUUCACACAGUGACGGUAACUUACCAGAAAGGGACGGCUAACUACGUGCCAG